AAUAUUGAGUAUAAGAGCUUAAACCGCAACUGGACCUUAAAAGCUUAAGUAGUGUUUCCUUAUUAGAAGAUACAAAGCCAAAGACUCAUACGUAGUUUAUUAUAAC
rnacentral:sRNA from 1 species